AUUGAACGCUGGCGGAAUGCUUUACACAUGCAAGUCGAACGGCAGCACGGGGGCAACCCUGGUGGCGAGUGGCGAACGGGUGAGUAAUACAUCGGAACGUGCCCAGUCGUGGGGGAUAACGUAGCGAAAGUUACGCUAAUACCGCAUACGAUCUACGGAUGAAAGCGGGGGACCGUAAGGCCUCGCGCGAUUGGAGCGGCCGAUGUCGGAUUAGGUAGUUGGUGAGGUAAGGCUCACCAAGCCGACGAUCUGUAGCUGGUCUGAGAGGACGACCAGCCACACGGGGACUGCGACACGGCCCGGACUCCUCCGGGAGGCAGCAGUGGGGAAUUUUGGACAAUGGGCGCAAGCCUGAUCCAGCCAUUCCGCGUGCAGGACGAAGGCCUUCGGGUUGUAAACCGCUUUUGUACGGAACGAAAAGGCUCUGGUUAAUACCUGGGGCUCAUGACGGUACCGUAAGAAUAAGCACCGGCUAACUACGUGCCAGCCGCCGCCGUAA
rnacentral:rRNA from 1 species